rnacentral:rRNA from 1 species
CCAGACUCCGGGAGGCAGCAGUGGGGGAUAUUGCACAAUGGGGGAAACCCUGAUGCAGCGACGCCGCGUGAGUGAAGAAGUAUUUCGGUAUGUAACGCUCUAUCAGCAGGGAAGAAGAUGACAGUACCUGAGUAAGAAGCCCCGGCUAACUACGUGCCAGCAGCCGCGGUAAUACGUAGGGGGCAAGCGUUAUCCGGAUUUACUGGGUGUAAAGGGAGCGUAGACGGUUAUGUAAGUCUGGAGUGAAAGCCCGGGGCCCAACCCCGGGACUGCUUUGGAAACUGUACGGCUGGAGUGCAGGAGAGGUAAGUGGAAUUCCUAGUGUAGCGGUGAAAUGCGUAGAUAUUAGGAGGAACACCAGUGGCGAAGGCGGCUUACUGGACUGUAACUGACGUUGAGGCUCGAAAGCGUGGGGAGCAAACAGGAUUAGAUACCCGCGUAA